CGCUGGCGGCGCGCCUAACACAUGCAAGUCGAGGGGAAACGAUAGAGAAAGCUUGCCUUUUCUAGGCGUCGACCGGCGCACGGGUGAGUAACGCGUAUCCAACCUGCCCAUCACUUGGGGAUAACCUUGCGAAAGUAAGACUAAUACCCAAUGACGUCUCUAGAAGACAUCUGAAAGAGAUUAAAGAUUUAUCGGUGAUGGAUGGGGAUGCGUCUGAUUAGCUUGUUGGCGGGGUAACGGCCCACCAAGGCGACGAUCAGUAGGGGUUCUGAGAGGAAGGUCCCCCACAUUGGAACUGAGACACGGUCCAAACUCCUACGGGAGGCAGCAGUGAGGAAUAUUGGUCAAUGGACGAGAGUCUGAACCAGCCAAGUAGCGUGCAGGAAGACGGCCCUAUGGGUUGUAAACUGCUUUUAUAAGGGAAUAAAGUGAGUCUCGUGAGACUUUUUGCAUGUACCUUAUGAAUAAGGACCGGCUAAUUCCGUG
rnacentral:rRNA from 1 species